rnacentral:rRNA from 1 species
UACGUAGGGGGCAAGCGUUGUCCGGAUUUAUUGGGCGUAAAGAGCGUGUAGGCGGUUAGGUAGGUCCGUUGUGAAAAACUCGAGGCUCAACCUCGAGACGCCGAUGGAAACCAUCUGACUAGAGUCCGGAAGAGGAGAGUGGAAUUCCUGGUGGUAGCGGUGAAAUGCGCAGAUAUCAGGAAGAACACCCGUGGCUAAGGCGGCUCUCUAGUACGGUACUGACGCUGAGACGCGAAAGCGUGGGGAGCGAACAGG